rnacentral:lncRNA from 1 species
UCAAUGUAGUGUUUUGUUAUCACAUCGUGGUUUAGAACGGAUUCAUUACGAUUCGAAUCAUCGCUACGUGCAGGCGCUAAAAAGACACAUCAAAUCAAUAUGGGUCGUCGUCGCGUUUACUGGUUGAGCGACUUCUCGGUGUUCGAGGAACCGCCUUCGCCCGCGAGCACGGCGCCGUCCAAGUAGGCAUCGGCCAACUGGAUGCGCUUGAUGUUCUCUUGCUCGUUCUCCAAUUCCUUACCGUACGCCAAGAGGACUUCGAGCGUCAUUUUCGGCGGGUUGAAGUUGACUUCUUCACCCUUGCGCGGGUUGAUGAGGCGCGGGCCGAGAGCUUCGUAGCCGACUUCGAGGAUGAAGUCACGCACCAAGUCAUCGUAGACACGGGAGCGAAGCGCGCCGAAGAAGUCAAUGGAUUGACCUUCGAACGUAUCGACGAGGACUUCGACGUCU